rnacentral:SRP_RNA from 1 species
GCUGGGCAUGGUGGCGCAUGCCUGUAAUCCUAGCUACUCAGGAAGCUGAGGCAGGAGAAUUGCUUGAACCCAGGAAGCAGAGGUUGCAGUGAACUGAGAUCACGCCACUACACUCCAGCCUGGGUGACAGAGUGAGACUCUGUCUCAG